UGGGGAAUCUUGCACAAUGGGGGCAACCCUGAUGCAGCGACGCCGCGUGAGCGAUGAAGCCCUUCGGGGCGUAAAGCUCUUUCGACCGGAACGAUAAUGACGGUACCGGGAGAAGAAGCUGCGGCUAACUACGUGCCAGCAGCCGCGGUAAUACGUAGGCAGCAAGCGUUGUUCGGAGUUACUGGGCGUAAAGAGUGCGUAGGCGGUUUUCUAAGUUCGGUGCGAAAUCUCCCGGCUUAACUGGGAGGGUGCGCCGAAGACUGGGAAGCUGGAGUGUGGGAAACGCAGGCGGAAUUCCUGGUGUAGCGGGGAAAUGCGUAGAUAUCAGGAGGAACACCGGCGGUGUAGACGGCUUGCUAGACCAUAACUGACGCUGAGGAACGAAAGCGUGGGUAGCAAACA
rnacentral:rRNA from 1 species